AUUGAACGCUGGCGGCAGGCCUAACACAUGCAAGUCGAGCGGAUGAAGGGAGCUUGCUCCUGGAUUCAGCGGCGGACGGGUGAGUAAUGCCUAGGAAUCUGCCUGGUCGUGGGGGAUAACGUCCGGAAACGGGCGCUAAUACCGCAUACGUCCUGAGGGAGAAAGUGGGGGAUCUUCGGACCUCACGCUACCAGAUGAGCCUAGGUCGGAUUAGCUAGUUGGUGGGGUAAAGGCCUACCAAGGCGACGAUCCGUAACUGGUCUGAGAGGAUGAUCAGUCACACUGGAACUGAGACACGGUCCAGACUCCUACGGGAGGCAGCAGUGGGGAAUAUUGGACAAUGGGCGAAAGCCUGAUCCAGCCAUGCCGCGUGUGUGAAGAAGGUCUUCGGAUUGUAAAGCACUUUAAGUUGGGAGGAAGGGCAGUAAGUUAAUACCUUGCUGUUUUGACGUUACCAACAGAAUAAGCACCGGCUAACUUCGUG
rnacentral:rRNA from 1 species